AAUGUACUAUUUCGACCUCCUGAAUUGUGAGAAUGUGGUGCUUGUCUUUGUCUAGUGAAUUGACUAAAUAUUUUUGAGUUUGGGGUUGUUGAUCAAUAAAACAAACAAUUUAAACACCAUUCCCAUCCUGGGCUUUAGGGACUUUUUGUCAGUUGAUCUUGUACUCAAUUUUGCCCUUAGCUUGUGUUAACCCCUUAACGCCUAUUGUCGCGAAUUCGCCUCAAACCGCUUCUAUUAAAAAUGCAGCCGAGAUCGUGCAUGUGUUCCCCCAAUGCCGGUUCAUGUCUCUUCGAUACGGACCUAGGAACGUUUUGCAAGCACUAGUUUCUCGUAGGACCGGUCAAAGAGUGGGAACUUACACCCGGUCGACGAAGGCGGGCAUAUCCGGUUAGACGCUAACGAGUGGAGAAAGCAAUACGAAAUAUACGGUCCUAUUUGAGGUGAUGAAAGCAGCAGCAGCAGCAGCAGUGAUGACAGUGGCAGCACUGAUGGAGACUCUGAUGCGGUCCCUAGCACCAGUUCUGCAGCUACUGCUGCGAGAGCACCUACUACAACCUUAGCUGUUUUGUUCUUGUUAUUGUUAUUGUUUUCAUUGUUAUAAUGAAUGGUUAAUGAUGUCAUGAGUUUUUGACAGCUGAGUUCAUGAGUAAGACAGCUCGGCACAUCCUUUGUUCUCUCUAAGUGUUUUCUCGUUCUCUCUCUCACACACACACACACACACACACACACACACACACACACACACACACACACACACACACACACACACACACACACUCUCUCUCUAUUACACACAGUUCUACAUGCUGUUUUUUUAUUGUUGUUUUGUUGUCAUUGUCAUGAGUUUUGCAUGUCUGUUGACAUAUUGUCAUGAAAUUAAUACUAUUUUAAUUUAAAUUAUAUGUUGGCAUCAAUAAAAUGAAUUACAUGCCUGA